AGUGAACGCUGGCGGCGUGCUUAACACAUGCAAGUCGAACGGAAAGGCUCCUGCUUGCAGGGGUACUCGAGUGGCGAACGGGUGAGUAACACGUGGGUGACCUGCCCCGCACUUCGGGAUAAGCCUGGGAAACUGGGUCUAAUACCGGAUAGGACCACUUCUUGGAGGUUGUGGUGGAAAGUUUUUUCGGUGUAGGAUGAGCUCGCGGCCUAUCAGCUUGUUGGUGGGGUAAUGGCCUACCAAGGCGUCGACGGGUAGCCGGCCUGAGAGGGUGUACGGCAACAUUGGGACUGAGAUACGGCCCAGACUCCUACGGGAGGCAGCAGUGGGGAAUAUUGCACAAUGGGCGCAAGCCUGAUGCAGCGACGCCGCGUGGGGGAUGACGGCCUUCGGGUUGUAAACUCCUUUCGCUAGGGACGAAGCGUUAUGUGACGGUACCUAGAGAAGAAGCACCGGCUAACUACGUGCCAGCAGCCGCCGUAA
rnacentral:rRNA from 1 species